CUACGGGCCGCAGCAGUGAGGAAUAUUGCGCAAUGGGGGAAACCCUGACGCAGCGACGCCGCGUGGAUGAUGAAGGCCUUCGGGUUGUAAAAUCCUGUCAGAUGGGAAGAAUUGUUCCAUGUCUAAUAUAUGUGGGACUUGACGGUACCGUCAAAGGAAGCACCGGCUAACUCCGUGCCAGCAGCCGCGGUAAUACGGAGGGUGCAAGCGUUGUUCGGAAUUACUGGGCGUAAAGCGCGCGGAGGCGGUCUGUUAAGUCAGAUGUGAAAGCCCAUGGCUCAACCAUGGACGUGCGUUUGAUACUGGCAGACUUGAGUACUGGAGGGGGUGGUGGAAUUCCCGGUGUAGAGGUGAAAUUCGUAGAUAUCGGGAGGAAUACCGGUGGCGAAGGCGACCACCUGGCCAGAUACUGACGCUGAGGUGCGAAAGCGUGGGGAGCAAACAGGAUUAGAUACCCGCGUAGUC
rnacentral:rRNA from 1 species